rnacentral:rRNA from 1 species
AUUGAACGCUGGCGGCAGGCCUAACACAUGCAAGUCGAGCGGAUGAAGGGAGCUUGCUCCUGGAUUCAGCGGCGGACGGGUGAGUAAUGCCUAGGAAUCUGCCUUGUAGUUGGGGAUAACGUCCGGAAACGGGCGCUAAUACCGCAUACGUCCUGAGGUAGAAAGUGGGGGAUCUUCGGACCUCACGCUAUCAGAUGAGCCUAGGUGGGAUUAGCUAGUUGGUGAGGUAAAGGCCUACCAAGGCGACGAUCCGUAACUGGUCUGAGAGGAUGAUCAGUCACACUGGAACGGAGACACGGUCCAGACUCCUACGGGAGGCAGCAGUAGGGAAUCUUCAGCAAGGGGCGAAAGCCUGACGGAGCAACGCCGCGUGAGUGAUGAAGGUAUUCGGAUCGUAAAACUCUGUUAUUAGGGAAGAACAAAUGUGUAAGUAACUAUGCACGUCUUGACGGUACCUAAUCAGAAAGCCACGGCUAACUACGUG